rnacentral:rRNA from 1 species
GAUGAACGCUGGCGGCACGCCUAACACAUGCAAGUCGAACGAUAUUUUUUAGAUUCCAAUCUCGAGGCUCGUAAGAGUAUCAAGAUACGGAGUCCGAAAUUUAUAGUGGCGGACGGGUGAGUAACACGUUGGAACCUGCCCCGAAGAGGGGGAUAACUACCCGAAAGGGUGGCUAAUACCCCAUAUACUCCGAUUUAUUCGGAGGAAAGCUUUUGCGCUUCGGGAGGGGCCUGCGUAACAUUAGCUUGUUGGUGAGGUAAAAGCUCACCAAGGCGACGAUGUUUAGCUGGUUUGAGAGGAUGAUCAGCCACACUGGGACUGAGAUACGGCCCAGACUCCUACGGGGGCUG